UACGUAGGGGGCAAGCGUUGUCCGGAUUUAUUGGGCGUAAAGAGCGUGUAGGCGGCUGGGUAGGUCCGUUGUGAAAACUCGAGGCUCAACCUCGAGACGCCGAUGGAAACCCUCCAGCUAGAGUCCGGAAGAGGAGAGUGGAAUUCCUGGUGUAGCGGUGAAAUGCGCAGAUAUCAGGAGGAACACCGAUUGCGAAGGCAGCUCGCUGGGACGUAACUGACGCUGAGACGCGAAAGCGUGGGGAGCAAACAGG
rnacentral:rRNA from 1 species